rnacentral:rRNA from 1 species
UACAGAGGUCUCAAGCGUUGUUCGGAUUCAUUGGGCGUAAAGGGUGCGCAGGCGGCGGUUCGCGUGGAUAGAUGAAAUCUCCUGGCUUACCUGGGAGGAUGGUAUCCAGACGGGAUCGCUUGAGGGUCGGAGAGGGGCGUGGAAUUCCGGGUGGAGCGGUGAAAUGCGUAGAGAUCCGGAGGAACACCGACGGCGUAGGCAGCGCCCCUGGACGACACCUGACGCUGAGGCACGAAAGCUGGGGGAGCGAACAGG